UAGCCGUAAACGAUACUCGCUAGGUGUCAGCCACGGUGCGACCGUUGUCGGUGCCGUAGGGAAGCCGUGAAGCGAGCCACCUGGGAAGUACGGCCGCAAGGCUGAAACUUAAAGGAAUUGGCGGGGGAGCACAACAACGGGUGGAGCUUGCGGUUUAAUUGGAUUCAACGCCGGAAAUCUUACCGGGACCGACAGCAACAUGAAGGCCAAGCUGAAGACUUUGCCGGAUUAGCUGAGAGGAGGUGCAUGGCGUAGUCGUGU
rnacentral:rRNA from 1 species